UCUCGCUCCAGGUCUGUGCAUGAUAUCCAUGCUGCUUUCUCCUGCACUCCUGGCCUCCUGAAGAUGCCCAGGAGAGGAACCCUUCCCCUGUGGAUGCUCCUGGUGCUGCUGCAUCUGGCACUUGUCCCAUCGCCGCUGGCAGGCUGCCUCCUCAGUCCCUGUUUGGAGGUCAUCCCUAACACAACUUUCAGAUGCACUGGACUGAACAUCUCUGGAGUUCCUCCUGGAGUCCCAAAUACCACCCAGAACUUAGAUCUUAGUUUCAGCAAUCUGAAGUCACUGAGAUCAAAUUAUUUUUCCUCAGUCCCUGAACUUCAACUUCUGGAUCUUUCAAGGUGCCACCUCCAUACAAUAGAAGAUAACUCCUUUAAGGACCUUCACAGACUUUCCACCUUAAUUUUAACUGCCAAUUCCCUCCAGUACCUGGGGACAGCAGCCUUCUAUGGCUUAGCAGCUCUGAAAAAACUAGUACUGGUGGAAACCAACAUAACCUCUGUGACUGACCUGCCCAUUGGACACUUGCAUACCCUGCAGGAGCUGAAUUUGGGCCACAACAACAUUACUUCAUUGAAGCUUCCCAAGUAUUUCACCAACCUGACCUCUCUCAGGCACCUGAGCUUUUCCUCUAACAAGAUCACAUAUAUCUCCAAAGGAGACCUUGAUGCCCUGAGGGAAGGGAACAGGCUCAACCUCACGCUGGUGCUUUCCUUGAAUAAGAUAAAAUCCAUAGAGCCAGGGUCCUUUGCAAAGAUUCACCUCGGUGAGCUGGUUCUGAGGUCCUCUUUUGAGAACUUCAACGAGAUGCACACUUCUCUUCAAGGCCUGGCUGGCUUACAGGUCAAAAGACUGACAGUUGGAGAGUUCAGAAACAAUCAUAGACUGGAAGACUUUGAGAGAGGACUCUUGAGUGGACUGUGCCAGGUCCAGAUGCAAGAGUUUGUCCUAAUCUGUUUCAGGAAAUUUGAGAGUAACACAGACACCCUUUUUGACUGCACAGGCAACGUCUCCACCAUUCGCUUGGUGAACCUGGAACUCGAACACAUAUCAGAGGUUCCCGUGUCGUCCCGAGUGAAACAGCUGGAGUGCAAGAACUGCCAGUUUGAGGAAGUGCCUGCCGUGAAGCUGUCGCAUUUCAAGCAGCUGAGAGUGCUUCGUAUUACCAAGAGCAGAUCCCUCAUAAGCUUUGAGCAGAAAUUUAGGGAUCUAAGUGAGCUGGAGGUCAUAGAUUUGAGUGAGAAUCGCCUCACCUUCAGUGGCUGCUGUUCCCGUCUGUUUCACAAUUGUUCCAAUUUGAAACACUUGAACCUAAGCUUCAAUGCUGACAUCAGAGUGACUGGGGAUUUCAAUAAUAUUAAGAAUUUGUUGUAUUUGGACUUUCAGCACACAAAAUUAUUUGGUCCUGGCUCCUACCCUGUCUUUCUCUUCCUUCAGAAACUCAUUUACCUCGACAUUUCCCACACCAAAAUUCACGUUAAAUCUCAGUGCACGUUUUGUGGCUUGAACUCUUUGCAAGUGCUGAAGAUGUCAGGAAACUCUUUCGAGAACAACAGGCUGGCCAACAGCUUCAAAAACCUAACUCACCUCCACACCUUGGAUAUUUCAAGUUGCAUGUUAGUACAGGUGAAUCAAAGUACAUUUGAUGCCCUCUCUGAACUAAAAGAGCUAAAUAUCAGCAACAAUAAGCUCCUGACCUUAGAUCCUGGAGUCUACCGGCCUCUCCAAGCCCUCAGAGUCCUGGAUUUCAGCAACAACCAGCUGACUGUUCUGUUGGACUCAGCCCUGGAAAUCCUGCCUGACAGCCUGGUCCUGUUAGACAUCUCUCAAAACCUGUUUGACUGCUCUUGUGCACACCUGAACUUUCUGACAUGGGUCCAGGAAAAGCAGGAGCUGCUGCAGAACAAGGAGCUGAUGAUAUGCCACAUGCCUGCGGCCGUGAAGAACGUGAGCCUGUCAAGCUUCGACCUGUCCUCCUGCCACCUCAGUGCAGGUAAGGUGGUCUUCACAGUGAUCAUGUUGCUUGCUACAAUGGUGCUCGCCUGCCUGAUUUACAGGUACUACUUCCAGCUCUACUACUCACUGGUGCUGCUCAGUGGGUGCAAACACUCUGCAGAAAGGGGUAACACCUACGAUGCCUUUGUUAUCCACUCCAGCAAGGACCAGGAAUGGGUGAUAAAAGAGCUGGUGGAACCCUUAGAAGGAGGAACACCUCCCUUCCACCUGUGUCUGUCCUGCAGGGAUUUCCUCCCAGGGGUGCCCAUUGUGACCAAUAUCAUCGAAGAAGGUUUUCUCAGCAGCAGAAAUGUCAUCGCAGUCAUCUCUACCAACUUCCUGGAAAGUAAGUGGUGCAGCUUUGAGUUUGACGUUGCCCAGUCCUGGCAGCUUGUUGAGGGAAAGGCUGGAAUCAUCAUGAUUGUACUUGAAGAGGUGAACAAGGCCUUGCUGAGGCAGAGGCUGGGGCUGUCCCGAUACCUGAGGAGGAACACCUACCUGGAGUGGAAAAACAAGGAAAUGAGCAAGCACAUCUUCUGGAGGCAGCUGACAGGAGUCCUGCUAGAAGGCAAAGAUUGGAAUAAUGAGGGGGCAAAGCUCAUGUGAAGAGAAAGAGAGAUCCCUCCUCUCCUGUCUCCUGUCCUGGCCUUGGCUGAUGGAUGGUGCUCAGAAGUUGGUUCUUCUGUAGCUGCUCAGAGUCAGAGGGAGUGGAUGGAGGCACUGCAAAAGCACUGCAGAAAUACCUGCCUUGCUGGCCACCCUCUCCCGAGGGAACUUGCCAGCUAAGGAGUGACAAGAGCCAGAAGAGCUGAACCUGCCUGAGCUCCAUGUUUGUCUGUGGCUGUCAACCAAAGCUGGUCCAGCAGUACACCCAGCCCGGUGAUCCAGUUCAACACACCCGCUCAUCCACCACAGCCGCCUGGAUCAGCGCUUCUACCCCUCGGUAACCCAGACCAAACCCAAACCUGCGCGGAGCAGCCGCUCAGGAUACUCGCUGUGGGAUUCACAAGGCAGUUCCUGGAAGUUGCUCUCCUUUCCUUGUCUCAGCGACGGAUCUGGCGUGAGCCUGUGGCCCCACUCCUGCUCCAGAGCUGGAAUCCCUCUGUUUUCUUUUCCAAGCAGUGUAGUCUGUUGGGAAGGGCACUCUACCACCGCUGUCUGGUUUGGAUGCUGCCGAGCCCCCUUAGACAACAAAUGCUGCCUGUUAUCUCUGCCCUGCCUCGUUUUCUCUGUUGGUAAAUUGGGAUUCACAACCUGCACGCUGUGGUUUGCUGGAAUGAAACACUGAAACAGAUGAAAUCUAGAUCAGAGCCCAUGAAAACGGUGCUUUCUGUUCCUCAACUCCAUUUCCCCCAUCUCGGGAAUUUUGAAAUCCUCCUCUACAGCUCUACCCCGGGGCCAGUAAAUGUCUGUCUGAAGUCAGAUUCUCCCAAACCCUUUUCUGUCACUGGUCCUGCUUGUGGUCACACAAGUUUCACUUUCUUUAAGGGAAGUAAGUGCAGUGACAACAGCACAAAAAUAAUCAAACCAAACCAAACCAAACCAAACCAAGCCAACCA